rnacentral:rRNA from 1 species
GACGAACGCUGGCGGCGUGCUUAACACAUGCAAGUCGAACGGAAAGGCCCUGCUUUUGUGGGGUGCUCGAGUGGCGAACGGGUGAGUAACACGUGAGUAACCUGCCCUUGACUUUGGGAUAACUUCAGGAAACUGGGGCUAAUACCGGAUAGGAGCUCCUGCUGCAUGGUGGGGGUUGGAAAGUUUCGGCGGUUGGGGAUGGACUCGCGGCUUAUCAGCUUGUUGGUGGGGUAGUGGCUUACCAAGGCUUUGACGGGUAGCCGGCCUGAGAGGGUGACCGGCCACAUUGGGACUGAGAUACGGACCAGACUCCUACGGGAGGCAGCAGUGGGGAAUAUUGCACAAUGGGCGGAAGCCUGAUGCAGAAACGCCGCGUGCGGGAUGACGGCCUUCGGGUUGUAAACCGAUUUCGCCUGUGACGAAGCGUGAGUGACGGUAAUGGGUAAAGAAGCACCGGCUAACUACGUG